rnacentral:lncRNA from 1 species
AGGAUGCUUAGCUAGGGGUAACAUUUCAGUAUGAGUGUAUACUGAGGUCAUGGGAGGAAAGUGUUGGGAGUUAAAGCUGGAAAGAAUUGGUUGUAAUUAAGGAGACACAUUUAAACAGUAUCAAUUCUGAAUCAAGAUAUCGACUAAACUGAACACCCAGAAGUGAAGGCAGAAAAGCAGCCAAACAAAACCCAGAGCCCUGGAAAUGGAACCUUCCAUGGGUACCAGUACAGAAUUGGAGAAGGGCAGAAAAAUGCACUUGGUCAUGCAUGGAGAAUUCCGAAGAUCUUCCUGUGCAAGGGAGGGG